AUUGAACGCUGGCGGCAUGCUUUACACAUGCAAGUCGGACGAGUGGCGAACGGGUGAGUAACGCAUCGGAACGUACCGAGUAAUGGGGGAAAACUGUGAGAAAGGACAGCUAAUACCGCAUAAUAUUCGAGCGGCCGAUGUGGGAUUAGCUGGUUGGCGGGGUAAAGGUCCACCAGGGCGACGAUGAGUAGCGGGUCUGAGAGGAUGAUCCGCCACACUGGGACUGAGACACGGCCCAGACUCCUACGGGGGGCAGCAGUGGGGAAGUUUGCACAAUGGGCGCAAGCCUGAUCCAGCCAUGCCGCGUGUCUGAAGACGGCCUUCGGUUUGUAAAGGACUUUUGUCAGGGAAGCGGUACCUGAAGAAUAAGCACCGGCUAACUACGUGCCAGCAGCCGCGGUAAUUC
rnacentral:rRNA from 1 species